rnacentral:rRNA from 1 species
GUACAUCCAGAGAACUUAGCAGAGAUGCUUGUGGCCUUCGGGAACUCUGAGACAGGUGCUGCAUGGCUGUCGUCAGCUCGUGUUGUGAAAUGUUGGGUUAAGUCCCGCAACGAGCGCAACCCUUAUCCUUUGUUGCCAGCGGUUCGGCCGGGAACUCAAAGGAGACUGCCGGUGAUAAACCGGAGGAAGGUGGGGAUGACGUCAAGUCAUCAUGGCCCUUACGGCCAGGGCUACACACGUGCUACAAUGGCGCAUACAAAGAGAAGCGACCUCGCGAGAGCAAGCGGACCUCAUAAAGUGCGUCGUAGUCCGGAUUGGAGUCUGCAACUCGACUCCAUGAAGUCGGAAUCGCUAGUAAUCGUAGAUCAGAAUGCUACGGUGAAUACGUUCCCGGGCCUUGUACACACCGCCCGUCACACCAUGGGAGUGGGUUGCAAAAGAAGUAGGUAGCUUAACCUUCGGGAGGGCGCUUACCACUUUGUGAUUCAUGACUGGGGUGAAGUCGUAACAAGGUAAGCGUAGCGAG